rnacentral:rRNA from 1 species
CAGCAGCCGCGGUAAUACGUAGGUGGCAAGCGUUGUCCGGAAUUAUUGGGCGUAAAGGGCUCGCAGGCGGUUUCUUAAGUCUGAUGUGAAAGCCCACGGCUCAACCGGGGAGGGUCAUUGGAAACUGGGAAACUUGAGUGCAGAAGAGGAGAGUGGAAUUCCACGUGUAGCGGUGAAAUGCGUAGAGAUGUGGAGGGACACCAGUGGCGAAGGCGACUCUCUGGUCUGUAACUGACGCUGAGGAGCGAAAGCGUGGGGAGCGAACAGGAUUAGAUACCCGGGUAGUCCCUGUCUCUUAUAC